rnacentral:tRNA from 3 species
CGGGGCGUAGCGCAGCUUGGUAGCGCGCUUCCUUGGGGUGGAAGAGGCCGUGGGUUCAAAUCCCGCCGCUCCGACCA